GAUGAACGCUGGCGGCGUGCCUAAUACAUGCAAGUCGAGCGAACAGACGAGGAGCUUGCUCCUCUGACGUUAGCGGCGGACGGGUGAGUAACACGUGGAUAACCUACCUAUAAGACUGGGAUAACUUCGGGAAACCGGAGCUAAUACCGGAUAAUAUAUUGACCCGCAUGGUUCACUAGUGAAAGACGGUUUUGCUGUCACUUAUAGAUGGCUCCGCGCAGCAUUAGCUAGUUGGUAAGGUAACGGCUUACCAAGGCAACGAUGCGUAGCCGACCUGAGAGGGUGAUCGGACACACUGGAACUGAGACACGGUCCAGACUCCUACGGGAGGCAGCAGUAGGGAAUCUUCCGCGAUGGGCGAAAGCCUGACAGAGCAACACCGCGGGAGUGAUGAAGGUCUUCGGAUCGUAAAACGCUGUUAGUAGGGAAGAACAAAUGUGUAAGUAACUAUGCACGUCUUGACGGUACCGAAUCAGAAAGCCACGGCUAACUACGUG
rnacentral:rRNA from 1 species